UACAGGGGGGGCAAGCGUUGUUCGGAAUUACUGGGCGUAAAGGGCUCGUAGGUUGCCAACUAAGUCAGACGUGAAAUCCCUCAGCUUAACUGGGGAACUGCGUCUGAUACUGGAUGGCUUGAGUUUGGGAGAGGGAUGCGGAAUUCCAGGUGUAGCGGUGAAAUGCGUAGAUAUCUGGAGGAACACCGGUGGCGAAGGCGGCAUCCUGGACCAACACUGACACUGAGGCACGAAAGCGUGGGGAGCAAACAGG
rnacentral:rRNA from 1 species